UACAGAGGGUGCAAGCGUUGUUCGGAAUUAUUGGGCGUAAAGCGCGUGUAGGCGGCUUUGCAAGUCGGGUGUGAAAGCCCUCGGCUCAACCGAGGAAGUGCGCCCGAAACUGCAGAGCUUGAGUACCGGAGAGGAUGGCGGAAUUCCCCAAGUAGAGGUGAAAUUCGUAGAUAUGGGGAGGAACACCGGUGGCGAAGGCGGCCAUCUGGACAAUGACUGACGCUGAAACGCGAAAGCGUGGGGAGCAAACAGG
rnacentral:rRNA from 1 species